UUAAUGAACAUAUAUAAUAUUACCCCUAUUUAUUUAAUGGGCAUAUAUAAUAUUACCCCUACUUAUUUACACCAGCCGAUAAUUAGUUCGAGGGCAAUCGAUUAGCGCUGUGGAUAGAAAUUGAAGCUCGGGUUCAGCAGCCUCGAUCAAACAGCGCCAGAGCCAGAGGGCUGCGAGAGAGGACAGGACUGGACAAGAAAACUGAAAUGAAAACAUGACCAAGAACCCUACCCAACACGAGAAGCCCCAGGCCGAAAUUACCGAAGCGCCCCUCGCCAUUUAACCAUCUCAUCUCCUCACCUCCUCGACGGCGCGACUCCCUCGACCUCGCCCUCCUCCCCCCGCCUUGACGCUGUCGCCUGGUCCUCCGCGGUCGGCUGUCUCGAUUCGAUCGUAAUACAUCGACAAUAGGAUUGAAUCACUUCUUCAAGAUUUGGAGUUGAAGGUGAUAAUCACAUUGAAUACAAUCUAGAUGAUAAGUUUUCUGCUGUACUGGUUACCUUGAAGAUGCUCAAAGAGUCAUUAUCACCAGUGCUGGAUGCUGACAGAAUAGAAGUUCCUUCACCAAAAGAAGAAAAUAAUUCGACAAAUUCUGAAGCUGCUACAGAUAGCGAAGACAUUGAAAUCAGCGAUGAUGAUGACCGCAACCACAAGCACCGAAGACGGGAGGCUAAACAACAAUCUGAUGACAAUACAGAGGAGCAACAUCCAGGGCCACCUCUUAAAAAAAGGAGUAGGGUUGCUGGUAAUGGAGAACCUUUUGGUGGAGCUGGCUCUCAAGGUGAAGUACAAAAGGAUUUUGUGCCAAAUUUUAAAAGGCGUUCUGGAGCAGGAGGUCACACUCGAGCACCUAGAGCGAACCAAUCCUUCCGAGCUGAUUCAUCGGCUUCUGCUGCUACUCGCCCUCCUAUGACACGAGGAAGAGGACGUAAUGUUGCACCUUGGACUCACCAUGAUCCAAGAUUUAACUCACUUGAUAUGAUGGAUUUUGCAUCCCAGAUGGCUUCACAAGGACCACCUGCACAUCCUAGCUUAUUUAUGGGCACUGCAUUGCCAUGUGGUCCAUAUGGAUUUAUGCCUGGAAUGCCUCAUGGGAUUUUGGAUCCAAUCCACCCACUUGGAAUGCAAGGCCCUAUUCAGCGCUCAGUAUCUCCUUUGAUUGAUCUUGGCAUGCCUCGUCAACGUUGCAGAGACUUUGAGGAACGUGGAUUUUGCUUGAGAGGGGAUAUGUGCCCCAUGGAGCAUGGUGUAAAUAGAAUUGUUGUUGAUGAUAUGCAGAGUCUUUCUCAAUUCAAUCUUCCAGUAUCAGUUCCAAAUGCUCAAGGAUUGGGAAUCCAAAAUGAGGGAGGAACCAGUUCUGUUAACUUAUCCAACCUUGGAGGGAGUAAAAGCGUUCCUGUAAAAGAUGUGAAAUCUGGUGUAGCAAGUGAUGCAUUAAAGCCAAAUGGAAGUGCUGUUUCAGCUGUUGCUGAUGCUGAUGUAUAUGAUCCUGAUCAACCUCUUUGGAACAAUGAGCACCGAGAAGCAUCAUCUACUGGCUUUAUAAAUAAAGAUGUUGGACCGUGGAAUGCUGAAUCAUCCGGCUAUGAAAUGGGGCAGGAGCAUUCAAACCAGGUUUUGGCUUCUGAUGGUUCUCAGAGUUUGAAGUCUUCUGUUUGGGGGCGAAUAACAUCAAAAAGAAAACCAGGAGGUAAUAACACAGCUAAAAGUACACCAACGAGUAUCACUGGAAACCAAAAAAGUGAUUAUGAUGACAUGGCUAUCAGCACGGGCCAAGUAAAAUCUGCUGCUAAGGAUACCAAUGGUCAACCCAAUUCAAGAAUAUAUGGAGAUGUGGGCUGGCAAAGUAAUCGAGCUGCUCAGAAAGCAUCCCGUACAUUAUAUGUAAAUGGAAUUCCCCAAGAAAGCAACAGAUGGGAGACCCUUCUAUCGCAUUUUCAGAAGUUUGGUCAAGUAAUAGAUAUUUAUAUUCCAUCUAACAGUGAAAAAGCUUUUGUCCAGUUCUCGAGAAGGGAAGAAGCUGAAGCUGCCCUAAAAGCUCCAGAUGCUGUUAUGGGAAACCGCUUUAUAAAGCUAUGGUGGGCCAACAGAGAUAGAGUUCUUGAUGUGGGAGAGGGCAGAAUCUCUCAAAAGCCUUCCCAGUUGUCUACUACGCCGGCUAAUUCUUACCCCAACAGAGUCAAGGAAAAUGUUCAACCAACAGCUCCAGGGCCCAGCUCUGGAUCUUCUGCUGAACUGUUGAGUUCUGGUACACCAAGUUCUAGAAUGCUGCCAGCAAGUAGUGCGAAAGCAGUACCACCCCAUGCUCCAAAAAGGCAAGAAAGCCUAGAACUAUUGGAAGAACUACGUAAAAAACAAGAGAUCUUAGCUCAGAAGCGUGAUGAGUUCCGCCGGCAGUUAGAGAAACUUACAAAACAAAAAGGUUCAGCAAAUUCAGUUAAGCAUGCAGAGACUGGUGGAAAAGAAAUUGCUUCUAAUGAUGCAUCACAAGUAAAGGAUGCAGCGUCCACGAGGGUUGAAGGGUCACAGGAGACAGCUGGUUCAUUGGAAAAGAGAAGUUCUGGAGAGUUUGCCUUGUUGUCUCAAAAGUCUGCUGCGAUAUCCACGCAGAAACCAGUGGUGGUUACAAAACAGACUACUCUGCCAGCACCUCCUCAGAAUAGGUUUAAGCUUGACAAUCGGACCACAUCAUUCAGAAUUCUUCCACCUUUGCCACCUGAAAUUGCAAAUGAAUCUGUCUUGGCAGACCAUUUCUCAUCAUUUGGGGAUCUUUCGUCGGUUGUCCUGGAAGAUACUGAAGCCCAUAACCUUGAUGCAACCCUAAAACCUUCGCUGAGUUGCUCAGCUUGUGUGACUUACACAACACGACAAUCAGCUGAGAAAGCAUUUAUUGGUGGUAAAUCUUGCAAAGGACACACACUACGAUUUAUGUGGUUGACAGCAUCUCCUGGCUCAAAUAACCAUUAUAGGCAUCAGAAUACCUCAGUUCAUGUGAGGCCCUCUACUAUCCCUGGCCAUACUCAAAGCAUAUCAUCUGAGUCCCCCAGCCCUGUUGGGAAAGUAUCAUCUCUUGCUACAUCUGUUAUGGUAGCCAUUCCUCAUAAUAAAUCCAUCUCAACUGUGGAAAAUACAAAGACUUCUCCAGCGGGAGUUUCCAAAGUUUCAUGUGGUAGCUCCUCUCUAUCAUCAAAUGAUAAGUGUCCUUCUGAAUGUGGUUCCACAAGGAAUGUUAUCUCAGAUUCUGACGUUCCACAAUGAGGUACGCUGCACUGAAUAUGGAAAUAACCUGUUCGUAAAAUAUUAAAGGUGAUUUUAUUGCUGAUGACUAAAUUAGGUGUUUUGAACAACAGCACAAUCCCAAAACCAUGUUCUUUAGGAACCUCUAUGAACCUCAGUUGCAAUAUAUUUGUAAAAUCAGUAAAAGUAUUAUCAUGAAAAAGGUUUCCAGUAUCUUUUAUAAGUCCAGUCAAAAUAUUCAUGGAGAUAUUAUUACCAAUGAGGCAAUGAUAAAAAGUUGCUUACAAGCAUUCCGAAACUUUUUUUUUUUGGGAAAACGCAGGAGAACUGCGCCUCAAUAUAUUAAGAAGAAGAGAUAAAUCCAGAUCAAAGAGAUCUGGACAAUAUAUUCCGAAACUUUUUUUUUACUGGAGGGAGUGCGUCCUAGGACAUCACUUUGUUAUUGCAGGUUUUUAGCAUUGAUUUUUCACAUGUCUAUCUGCCAAAUAGUUGGUGAAAAGGAAAUAACUGACGUUAGCAAGGCAUGCCAUAAUCUAAGUACCAACACUACGACUUACUCUAGUAUUAUGCAGUAAACAAUGAUUUGAACUAGCCUGUUCCCUCCAGUGGCCCGCCUUUGUAUAUGCAUGUUUAACCAACCACCCAGCCCUGCAAUCAAUAUACAGGGAUGCUUAUCACCCAGCCCUGCAAUCAAUAUACAGGGAUGCUUAUCAGAUAGGUUGGCUGUGGAGUUUUCAUAAUACAAUAAGGGAAUCUAUAACAUUACAUUAUAUUCAUGUUAGAUAAUAGUUUUAUUUUCUUAAUAAUUAUUUCCAAGAUCCUUAUAUCACCUUUAGUGGUUUAUAAGUCAGACUACAAUGAUUGGUAUGUGAAUUUUGCGAAAGGGUAACAUAGUAGGCUUGAUGUCCAAUUUCCAAGACUUGCUGUACAUGUAGGGUUAUCAUGUUAAAAUUGAUCCUGUAUGCUCUUCACUUCUAUCAACAAUGUGGUACAAGUCUUCUGUAGUUGUCUUGUACAAGGAUUAAUCAUUUAAGCUCCCAAUGGUUAGUGUCUAGUAUCUAUUAACUCAGUGAGCAACUAAUCAAAAUCUUUCUCCCUUAGCUUAGACAUCUAUUUACAUCAGGUUAAAUAGUGAUGUUGGUUUGUAUUUUGUGUGUAUGUGUGUUUCUAUCUCUAGUUUUAUGAGUGUAGCGUCCCUUUAUUUUGCCUCCACAAGUCCACAUUUACGUUAGGCUGUUCCAUAAAAAAAUACUCCAGAUAAAUAUUGUGGGUAAGCUCCUGCUGAAACUCAUCGCUCAUUGAUGUCAAUGUGUGGUGCAAUAAAUAAUCAUGGAUUCGGGGCUGGGGGUUGUUUGGUACCCCUCUGCUGUUCUGCAGUUUGUGCAGUUUGUUUUCUUCUUUUUCUGUCUAGGCCUUUUAUUGGCACCUUGUUCUGGGUCUAUUUUAGACCUUUUUCUCCUUUUCUUAAUAUAUAAGAUGCGCAGUUCUCCUGCGCGUUCGAUAAAAAAUAAUAAUCAUGGAUUCUUGUUUUAUGUAUUUUUAUUUGUAUGUGAUACACUGAUGUUAACAUGGUCAUCUCAUAUGUGAGCUUAGCCUAUCAACUGCCAAAAUUGAUUUAGAGACAUUUGCUUGAUAGAAGUCCACUAUGACAUAUGAAACAACUACUAGUGUGCAAGAUUGUCUCAUGAAACCUGGUUCCAUCCAAGUUUCUUUAUCUCCUUGCCUUGUCUCCACGCAGUUAUGGGAUUUGUUAUUUUAGUUCACAAGCAGUGAGACACCUCAGCUUCUGACAGAUCGGAAAGGGGAAUUAUGCAUGUUUUUGGCUUUUCACUCAUCUCACUGUAUGUGGGCCAGUCAAGACUACAGAUGACAUGGAUGGAUGGAAUCAUGGAAUCUUUUUUUUCCUGGGGCACAACACUUCUUUUUUGUUUGAUACAUGGCACGAGACUUUUUUUUUAGAACAACGCAGGAGAUCUGCGAGUUAUUUCAUUAAGAAAGAAAGAUAAGAGGCUACCAAAAGGUGAGCCCCCAGUACAAUGGUUGGCUAUGACCUGAGGGCCUAUACGAUGUGCUCAAGGCCACCAAAACACAGACCCCACACCCAACCAAUUUCCAAGGUUGAACUGACGUGCCAGGAGCUCUUGGAGGGCACUGGCACCUGCCCUACACCAAAUGGCACCUUCAUAAGCAGCUUCCUGAAUAACAGCAGGAACAAAAGGCCUUCUCCCCUCCAAGACAGCUUAGGAAUCUGUCGUUGGGCUGAGGUGAGAGAGUCGGCCACUGCAGAGUCCACGCUUCUUUAGCAAAAACGAGACUUGUAAUUUGUACAAUCCACUCUUGGUUUUGUUUGAUUAAACUAUUUGUUUUUUUUUGCUAGGAACCCUGUCUCAUUAGUUUUUAUUCAUUAGUUUGUCCCUUGGUAUCCCAUUUUUUUAAGAAAAUGGUGUGUUAAUCUGUUUUUUCCACAGGCUUAAUGCUAUCUGGACGAGGUGGUGUUAUGAAUCUUGAUUUGGUGGCUCGGCUAUUUCAUAGGUCUACACCUAGUCAAAAUCCCAUCACAUUUGAAGUUAUUGGAAGACCUUUUGAAAACUUUGGUGUUUAAUCGUAGGGCAGCGCGGUUAAGGCUGUAAAAAGAAAAAAAAGAGAAUGUUUAAAGAAAUAUGGGUUCAAAAGCAUACUGGAAGUGGAGGCUUUCUCGGUAACCACCGUCUAAUCAUCUCAUUGUUCACGGAGACUGAGUGGUGCUAGGUUAUUUGUACACUUCAUUUUGGGGGCGCAUCGUGCUGAAAGCAGUUGGUAAUAUGCUAAUUCUGUAGUUUGUAGCUCCUGCUGAAAUCAGCUUUGUGGAUUAUGUUGUGAGCACGAUGAACAUCAAACUCUCGCAAGUCCCAUCGAGGCAUCUUGUCGAAAAACUUCUGCUGUGCAUACUGAACUAAAUUUUGUGCCGGUGUAUCAUCUGUCGACUAUCGUGUUGGUCUAUUUAGUAUCCCUUGUGAUCGUUUACCUUA